rnacentral:tRNA from 1 species
AGGAAGGGGGCGCUUGGCUCGAGGCUCCCCUCUCCUCGCAGGAGAGGGGACGGGGGAGAGGUUCCCUACCUCUCCUUCAGC